rnacentral:rRNA from 1 species
AUGUCCAUUUGUAAGACGGCUGGUGAUGUUCAGAAUAAUAAGCGAAGUGCACGAAUUGGUAACGGUGACUACAGUAGACUGUUUAAGCAACUAAGCAACUCAAGUCCCAUGGCGACUACAAAUCAUGAGUGGCCGCUGCACUAUUCUUGUAUGUUCUUCUAUUUUCAAUGGAAGCAUUCAAUCAUAUUUGUUUUUUUCUCACAGCAGUUUAUAUACCUCUCCAUGGAUCAUUCAGGUGUAAAAAUAUGGAUUUUCACUUUUGACAUGCAGUAUUUGACGGUCUCUAUGUGGAGGGUUUCAGAACUUCCUCUAGGUGCACACCUGAUUACUAGGGAUACACGCUUGCAACUAGCAAAAAUUGCAAGAUGCAGUGUCGCGUUUUCUCUUUCCAAUGCAUGGUAUCUGUUCAGGUGGAUGACCGCUAAUGUAUGUGGGAUAUGGAUGUCUUCAUAUUUGUGGUGGGUACAAGUAAUGUUAAAUUGA